rnacentral:rRNA from 1 species
UAAACUGGGAUUAGAUACCCCACUAUUUUUAUAAAAAAAUAUUUAGUAGUAAGUGAAAUUCAAAAAACUAAAAAUUUUUGGCGGCACCUUUUAACUAAUUUGAGGAAUUUAUUCUUUAAAGGAUUAAACACCAAAAUCUUACUUUUAUUUGUAAUAUUAUAUCAACUUGUAUACCUCUUUUUUUUAAAAACAUCAAAAAAUAUUUUUUUAAAUCUCAAAUAAAGAAAGUUUUUAGGUCAAGGUGCAGUUUUUACAAAAGAAUGAGAUAAAUUAUAAUAAAUUUUUAUUUUACAAUAUAAAAUUUGUAAUUUUAUAUAUUUAGAAAAAUUUAAAAGUAAAAA